GGCAGAAUGAAAGGCAACUUUAUAAUUUUUUAAUAUUGCAUGAAUUAAAUGGAAACAAUCUAUCCACAUUAUGACAAGAAAAUAAUAUCAUUGGUAGAUGUAUUUUGAUACAGAAAUGAGGCUGUGUGUUAUUGGCCAUCAUUUGAUAGGUUUGGAAAUGCCAGACAACCACUAAAAGGUCAUUUACUCUUAAAUUACAUCCCUCAAUUACUGUAGCUGCUGCCAUGUGAACCGGAAUCUCCUUAAUAGGUAAUAGGCCCCCUUGGUAGGUGGGUUCUCUUCAGAUGUGGCUAACUCAAAGAAAUUGAAGAGGAAAGACAAACCCAUGCUAUGUGUACAAUUCACUGAUGACUUUCUUUCACAAAAUGUCACCUUAGUGACUAAGCUGCUAACAAAGUCUUCUGUUUUCCUUUCCUUCUAGCAAUCUUCAAUAAGCAUUGAGUCACUGCCCAGAAAAUACUGUUGUCUAUAACCUGUCACAAGGCACACAGUACCUAAAAAGACCACACGUGAUUUCUCUGGCAAGUUGAAAGGAAGGGAAACA
rnacentral:lncRNA from 1 species